UACGUAGGGAGCAAGCGUUGUCCGGAAUCAUUGGGCGUAAAGCGCGCGUAGGUGGCCUCAUAAGUCCGCUGUGAAAGUCCAAGGCUCAACCUUGGAAAGCCGGUGGAUACUGUGAGGCUAGAGUACGGAAGAGGCGAGUGGAAUUCUUGGUGUAGCGGUGAAAUGCGUAGAUAUCAAGAGGAACACCUGCGGCGAAGGCGGGUUGCUGGGCCGACACUGACGCUGAAGUGCGAAAGCUAGGGGAGCGAACGGG
rnacentral:rRNA from 1 species